GGGGAAGUCGUUUGAAUGCCUCGUUGAGUAAGCAUCUCGACAUCGCACAUUCAAUAGACUUUGGCUGGCGAGGCACCCAAUCAGUGCUAAACACAUUGGCAUUUCGCUAAAUGAGUGUGGGUACAUAACUCAGGGCCCAACAAUGCCGCUUUCAGGCCCAUCCGACUGCCAAGGCGGUUGCACUAAUUGCGCUAAUAAUGGGGAUUACCUCAGAGAGCAGUCUGGUGCCGCUUGAAAACGCAGCGAAAGAUAAUAUUGAAUCUUCAAUCUUCAGAUUUUGAUAAGACCUUAAACUUAAAACUUUACAUCGAACCGUAAAGAUGGCUAGAACUAGUGUUUAAAUCAGAGCUUAAAUAAAUAAUUGUUCAAAAUUUGUCCAAAAUUUAAAUGUAUAAAAUUAG